GCGCCCAUAGCUUAAUUGGAUAGAGCAUUUGACUACGAAUCAAAAGGUUGGAGGUUCAACUCCUCUUGGGCGCG
rnacentral:tRNA from 1 species